AAGGCAUUAGUUUAAUAAUUGAAUAACAAUUUUGGAUAUUGUAGGAAUAAUUGUCUUA
rnacentral:tRNA from 1 species